UACAGAGGUCCCGAGCGUUGUUCGGAUUCAUUGGGCGUAAAGGGUGCGUAGGCGGUCUGCUAAGUUUGAUGAUGAAAUCCCGGGGCUCAACCCUGGAAUGGCAUUGAAUACUGGCGGACUAGAGUACCGGAGAGGAAACUGGAAUUUACGGUGUAGCAGUGAAAUGCGUAGAGAUCGUAAGGAAGACCAGUGGCGAAGCGAGUUUCUGGACGGUAACUGACGCUGAGGCACGAAGGCCAGGGGAGCAAACGGG
rnacentral:rRNA from 1 species